UGGGGAAUUUUGGACAAUGGGGGAAACCCUGAUCCAGCAAUGCCGCGUGGAUGAUGAAGGCCUUAGGGUUGUAAAAUCCUUUCGUUGGGGACGAUAAUGACGGUACCCAAAGAAGAAGCUCCGGCUAACUUCGUGCCAGCAGCCGCGGUAAUACGAAGGGGGCUAGCGUUGUUCGGAUUUACUGGGCGUAAAGCGCGUGUAGGCGGACUUGUAAGUUGGGGGUGAAAUCCCGAGGCUCAACCUCGGAACUGCCUCCAAAACUACAAAUCUGGACCUAAGUAGAGGCAAGUGGAAUUGCGAGUGUAGAGGUGAAAUUCGUAGAUAUUCGCAGGAACACCAGUGGCGAAGGCGACUUGCUGGACUUAUGGUGACGCUGAGACGCGAAAGCGUGGGGAGCAAACAGGAUUAGAUACCCCCGUAGUCCCUGAGCGGGCUGGCAAGGCGCAU
rnacentral:rRNA from 1 species